AUCUUUGCGCUUGGGGCAAUGACGCAGAUAGUGAGGUAAUACCUAGGCGCGUCAAUUGCUGGUUGAAAACUAUUUCCAAACCCCCUCUGGGGCCCAUCCGAGUCUCAGAGAAUUUCUGUAAGGGCUCCCUCUAACCAGGGUAAAAGCC
rnacentral:snRNA from 1 species